AGGGAAAAAGUUCCUAAGUGGAGAUAGUUACAGAGGAAUAUAUUCUAAAGGGAUUUAUUCGAUGCAUUGACUUUUCUAGUUUAGGGAACUUGGAAGAAAGAAAAAAACCUUUGAACUAACUAUACAAAAUGUCAUCUCAUGCUUUUGUCUACAAAACUUUAAAAACAGCUAUUUGACAACCUCCAGGUUCAGAGAAGUCAUAAUAGCACUGAACUUCAAAGCAAGACCAGUAUGUUAAAACUGGAUUGGUUUCUUUCUGAAAGUAAUCUUUACUUGUUUAACAAGCUUAGGUUGUUAAAAUAUCUCAGUUAUUUUAGUUCUCCACUCUAGGCAGUACAUAUGCUCAAAAAAAGACAGUAAAAUGUAAAACAAUCAAAUGAGGAAAAAAUAAAUGGAAAGAAAAAUUACGAAGCAUAUGAAUGCAGGGAAACAUGAGUAGAGAAAGUGGAGGAAAAAAGUAAAGAUGAAAAAUGCAUGGACGGUGGAUGGAGAAAGUGAAGUUAAAGGAAAAAUCUCAAAAGAGGCUGUAGCAAGAUGGAUCUCUUCUCCUAAGCAACAAGUGAUAGGACAAGAAGAAAGGACCUCAGAUUAAACCAGAGGAGAUUUAGUUUGGAUAUUAGGAACAAUUUCUUCACUGAAAGGGUUGGGAAGCAUACUGCUGAUUCACCAUCCCUGAAGAUACUUAUAAGAUGUGAAGAUGUGCUGCUUAGAAACAUAGCUUAGUGCUAGACUUGUCAUUGCUGGGAUAGUAGUUGGAUCCAAUGACCUUAGCGAUCUUUUCCUACCUAAACUAUUGCACAAGGACUGAUCCAAAAGUAAUGCCUCCUAUUUUAUUAUAUUGGCCCACAACAUCAGAGGUAAAUGUUGUGGUAUGGCAGUAGAGAUUGUUUUGUUGCCAUGUGACAGAUGGCAGCAGAGAGGCAAUCUGAUAGAAUGGCAUCUGAAAUGGAAGUGUGUAUGAAGCAAAGACGUGGAAUUGAAUUUCUCUAUGAUGAAGAAAUGGCACACACAAACAUUCAUCUACACUUGCUGAAUGUUUACGGAGACCAAGCAGCGGAUGCGAGAACAGUGAGGCAGCAGGUGGUACAUUUCAACAGUGGUAACAGUGACAGUGGGUAUGAUAGUGAAGAUUUCUAUGGGUGUGGCAUACAAGUUCUUGUUCAAAGUGGCUAAAAAUUCAUAGCUAAAGGUGGUAACUAUGUUGAAAAUUAGUGUUCUGUAGCUGAGAAUUUAUUCUAACAAAUUGUGCUCUUUACAUCUGUUGCAGUUUUCACAAAAAUAAGUAAGAGACAUUAUUUUUGGAGUGACUUGCAUAUGAAAGUGGCAAUGGUGUGUGACGAGAGUGUAUGCUAGAGGUAACCAUCCAUCAUUCCUUGUAGAAAUAAAGCUCUAGCUGAAGUGGUAUGAAACAACUUCAUAUUUUGAACAGAUGAUGGAAUGCUGGAUUGUCAGAAACAUCAAUUAUGAAAAUCAUUUUUACAAGAAGUCAGUAGAAGAGAUAGCAGCAAAUGGUCGUACUCAGUUGAUAACUUCCUCUCAGCAUCCUCCACCUCUAAAGCCUUGGGCCUCACUCUGACCAGGGACUUUGAAUCUCAUCAAACAACACCUGAAUGAGGAGCAGUUGUGUGAAGUGCACAAAUGCGAGGUGCGGUACUGCCCUGAUGUCUUCACAGAGAGGUGAAAAUGUUUGAUGCAAGGGUAGAUGUUGAAUGUGCCCCAUUCGUGAGGUAGCUGAAGAAGAAAGAACCUGACUGCAGGCACGAUUACAUUCCAUUGAAUGCUAUCAAGGUUCUGAUACAAUGUCAGCAAAGGCCAAUGUAAGAGCAACGUGAUGGAAGGCACGGAGCAAUACCCCCUGUAUAAAGAUAUAGGAUGCCAGAGUCCCACAUGUGGCUUGGCUGCAUACAGGCUAUGUAUGACUUGGGGGAAAGACUGAAUUAAUUCAUCAUUUUGCAUAAGCAUGGAAGAGACCAUCACUAAAAAAGCUUAGAGGAAAGAGAACUAGAAUGAAAGGACAAAAUCAUUUAAAUCAUUUGGGCUCAUCUUCAUAAAAAGAGUACCUGGUAAAUUAACACGGAGCUAUCCCUGACACUGAACAUAAAUGGAAUUCAAUCAGGUUCCAACUUUAAACAGGAGGACUGAGGAGACUUCUUAAAUGAGACAGCCGGAGCCUUUUUACAACAUGUUGUGUUGGUGACUGGAUAGUUCUGGGGACUAAUGAGGAGAUAUAAAAUCACAGUGAAGUUGGUGACCAUUUCUAAUCCAAAGCAAGUGAAGAAAGUGAAUGGUGCCCUGCCUUAGCUUCCUUUAUGUGCUUCCAGUUUUCUGAAAUCAGCCAUGUCUUCUGCAGAUAGGACUGUAACAGCUUGAUGGAUACCUCAGGAUCAGUUUAUACACGAGAAGUUUUCUUCAACAGCUUUCCAGCCCUGAGCAGCACUGGACCAAGCCGUGGUGUUGGUUCUCCAGAGCAGCAGCAGCAGCAGCCCUAGCAGCCAUCCCUUCUCUGAGCGUGGAAGUCUGUGUUUCCUGAAUCAACACACUCAGCACUUGGCUUUUUCUUCCCGCUAUUACUCAGAUUACAGCCCUGAUCACAUCGUGCACUACACACAUCGCUUAUGCUGCUGGCAGUUGGAGUAGAGGAAUGAAAAUUAACCAGCGUUUCUCAAAAACAGUGGUUUGAUCAAAAAACAAGGUAUGUUUUAACUUAGUACAAAAGAAGAUCAUCUGAGGAGUAAGGUGCCUGAUGGGGAAGAAGAGAUGCUUGUGUCCAGUUUCCAUGAUCCUGCUGACACUGGAGAUACCUGCUGUACAGGCUUUUUUACCUCACCUUGUUUGGUAUGUCCAAGCUCCCCAUUCCAUGACAGAGCCAAGCAGCUUCAGCCAGGCAUGAGGACCUUCAUACAUGAAAAGCAGUGAAGAGCCAUAUCCCUAAAGCAUGCAACUCUUGUAUAUGACAAAAGAUAAUGGGUGGAUACCAAGAAUUGAAGGUAACAGAAAGAAAGAGAGGACAUAUUUCCACAGCUUGGCAAAAGCAGUCUCCAAAGUCCUCAAACAGCUGUGGAAAAAUAGUGAAAGGAGAGCAAAUAGCCUGUUUGUCCUCUAUCUCAUGGACACAGUGCCUUGUGAGCCCUGGAGGGUAUCUGCUCAUAUCCAAGCUGUGAAAGCAGUUGCUGUGCCUGCCACAUCACAGCUUCAUAGACACACCAAUGCUUGCAGUACAGUCAAAAUAUGCUUUAAAGCCCAUUUCAGCAGCAAGCUCUCUGGAUUCUGUGCCAGGAAAUGUUAAUUACUGUGGUGCAGUGUUCUGUUUUCUGUGGUGCAAUAACAAUUAAUUUACACCAUUUGGAAAAACACUUUUUUAUUAAAAAUCAAUAGAAGCAAAUCAAUGCAAUGUAAAGCAUACAAUACCAAAAUGAAAAGCUCUUGUUUUUAUACUUGGGCAUCCUUAAUAAAAUUGCACUGUAGAUUCAGGCAGUUUGUCUAUUGUAAUCUAAUGAGAAGCUGUCAAGCUUCUUUUAAGCGUUCUGGAAAUUACCAUGUAUUGGGGCAGCCAUUUUUAGUCAAAGAAUUCAAUAAUUAACCCCCAAGUUGUAAGUCAAUAUGAUGAUGGUGCAGGUGCCGCUGCAUUUGUCUCUCUGCACUGCAUCACCUAUGCACCUGACAAUCUGUGGGACCCAUUUUGAAUCGAGAUGGAGGUUAAUUUUUAUUUAUAGUUAUAAUUAGAAAAACACUAGCUGUAAUGAAAACUGCUCCACCGCUGGAACAUAUCACCACAGAGUAAAUUCCACAGCAAUUUUUGCAUUUUAAUAGGUCAGAGAGUAACACAAAUGAAUUGCUUCUUCCUGGGGGAACUUGUUUAUUCUUUGGAAUUUAAUGAUUUACUGGAACACUGAUCUCAAAGAAAAAAAUCCCACAGUUGUUUUUCUACCAUUGCCUCAACUGCACAAGGUGCUGCAGACCCUGGGAAGGCAGCUCACACCUGUAAUUGUACAGCUCCUGAGGCUCCCCUGCACAAGGUACUGGGGCCUACCUGCCAGCUCCUCAGCACCCUGCUGCACAUGGCACAGGAGCUCAGGGACUUCUCCAGGAUGAUACAGCUCCACCACAGAAGUGCUCCCUCAGCCCACAGCAGGAUGCAUCCAGCUGCUACAGUAAGGAAUGCUUUACCCUUUAGGCACAAGCUGCUGUUCCCCUCCCCAUGGUCCACCGCCAUGGUCUGCACAUUUAUGAGUGCAGCCACAACUACAGCUGGUCUUCUCUGACUCAACCAGAGCAGGAAGAAGCAGGACAAUUUUAAUCCAAUGGAAGCACUCAUGGAAGCAGCCAAGGACAUAUCACUCUGGAAGGGCAGAUCAUCAUUUCCUUUCUCCAGACAGGACUACUAUGGGUUUGAGUUUGACUAUUUUAACGGUGAAUUGAUUUUUUGUGUGAAGUGAUCUAGGUAUGACAGUAGAUUUUUCAAAGUCAUUCGGUAGCUCAUGACAGUGGGCUGGGAGGACAGGUGUCAUCAAAUAAAAAGGUAUGAAGUGGACUAAUUUAAAAGGAACGCAGAGGUUGUACAGAACUGCCAGAAACUCCAUCGCUUUGGUACAGCGAUGCAAGGAAAAUAGAAACAGUAACAAAAGAAGACUUUGAAAUUCAAAGUUUUACAAAACAGGAUAUUUGAUUUGGAUUGUAUCUAGAAAUUGCAAAAGCUUGGCAAAGCAUCACUGAGGUACUGCAAAAUAUUUGUAAUCUGCAUAAUCUUUAUAUGCCACAGUCUUUCCCUCUACUGUGGGAGCUGUGAUGUAACCAUGAAUUUGUUAUUGGGGUGGCUGACACUAAUGUUCUUACAUAUUAAAAAAAAAAAAAAAAAAAAAGACACGAGCUCAAUUUGUUCUUUGUGCAUGUGUAGUGGAAAUGCUA